rnacentral:lncRNA from 1 species
CAGGCCUUUGGCCCCAGACUGAAGGCUGCACUGUCAGCUUUACUUUUGAGGCUUUGGGACUCGGACUGAGCCACUACUGGCUUCCUUGCUCUUCAGCUUGCGGAGAGCCUAUCUUGGAACUUCAUCUUGUGAUUCGUGUCAAACCUACAUUGCAGCCUGAAGGAUGUCUUCACUUCCUCCUGCUCCUUCGCCUUGUAUCCUUCAUAGAUUUUUCCCGCAAUAAAUAUUUGCAUAUCUUAGCAUCCUUGUGACAGGCAUCAUGUUCAUCUCAAGCUGUUUAUGAAGUAAAUCUCCUGUCAAAGGAUUGGAGAGAAGGAACCAACUGUCUUUCACUCACCCACUUAGAACCUUCUGGAAGCCCUGACUGCCUUGCUGUAAGGUCGGCUGAAUGGAAAGAGACAAAGGCUGUUGGCCCUGAUAACAGAGGACACGGAGAACACUGACGGGCCAGCACAGAGAGGCCAACUACAGGACUUGAAUAUGUGUGCAUUUUGGGAUAUUCUGGCAUCCUGGAACCAAUCCCCUGCAUAUAUCAACGGAUGACUCUACGAACGCAUAUAUUAUAGAGAAAUUGCUGAAUCAUAGGGUAUGCAUAUGUUCAGUUCUG